CAAUGGCGUAUAUUAAAGUUGUUGCAGUUAAAAAGCUCGUAGUUGGAUUUCUGGUGGGAGCGACCGGUCGGCCCAAGUGGUGUGUACUAGUGUUGUAUCUGACCAUAUUUGCGGAGAGCGUGUGUGGCAUUAAUUUGUCGUGCUCGGGACCCGCAUCGUUUACUGUGAGAAAAUUAGAGUGUUCAAAGCAGGCUUAUGCCUUGGAUAUGUUAGCAUGGAAUAAUAAGAUAAGACUUUGGCGGUCUAUUUUGUUGGUUUGCACGCCAUUGUAAUGAUUGAUAGGGACAGUUGGGGGUAUUCAUAUUUAAUUGUCAGAGGUGAAAUUCUUGGAUUUAUGAAAGAUGAACUACUGCGAAAGCAUUUACCAAGGAUGUUUUCAUUAA
rnacentral:rRNA from 1 species